AAAAAUGGCCUUGCCACCAUGAACACGCCCGAUCUUGUCUGAUCUCGGAAGCUAAGCAGGGUCGGGCCUGGUUUGUACUUGGAUGGGAGAUCGCCUGGGAAUAUCAGGUGCUGUCAGUG
ensembl:rRNA 5S_rRNA 5S ribosomal RNA